GCACCGCAUCCAGGAAAACCGAAGGCUGGUGUGGGAGCUGCUGAGCAGCCGGAGAGCUCAUGUCUACCUGGCUGGGAAUUCCAAGCAGAUGCCAGCAGCCGUGGCCGAAGCCCUGCAGUCGGUGUUGCAGCUGGAAGGUGGCCUGUCGCCCUCGGAAGCAGAGGAGCAUUUAGCAGCUCUGGAACGGUCCCAGCGCUUCCAAUCUGAAACCUGGUCGUAAGCCUGGCUCCCUGCCUCCCCUUCCCCCAAACUCAGCCUGAAUAAAGGAGCCAGCAAAGAGA
rnacentral:lncRNA from 1 species